GGUCGAAAGAGGAAAUUCAAUCGCGUUUCGGCUGUCGAAGUUGAACGUUUGUAUGAAAAAUGAAGUUUCGGCUUCGUUUGCGUCUUACGUUCUUUGAGUCGAUGUCGAACGCGUGCACUUUUCCUCUAGUAGGACGUCGCGAUCCGUUGGGUGUCUGUCUAAGACUUGGGGUGGAGCCCGCGCGAUUUUUAAUUGCGUGGACCCUCGAUGUUCCGACAGACUCGCUCGACGGUAUACUAAUGGCGCGGGGCCGCUACUUCAGUUAGCGUUUGGCCCGUAGCAAGCACGUUCUGCGUUUGACAGCGAUCGGACCUGGUGCCGAUUCUGUUCCGGAACGACUGUUGGUUACGG
rnacentral:rRNA from 1 species